rnacentral:rRNA from 1 species
UACGUAGGGUGCGAGCGUUAAUCGGAAUUACUGGGCGUAAAGCGUGCGCAGGCGGUUUUGUAAGGCAGAUGUGAAAGCCCCGGGCUCAACCUGGGAAUGGCAUUUGGGACUGCAAGGCUGGAGUUUGGCAGAGGAGACUGGAAUUCCUGGUGUAGCAGUGAAAUGCGUAGAUAUCAGGAGGAAUACCGAUGGCGAAGGCAGGUCUCUGGACUAUAACUGACGCUCAUGCACGAAAGCGUGGGGAGCAAACAGG